CUCGCUGCCAGCGAGCUCGCGCAGUAUCGGCUCACGACCGACACCUUCGUGCGGUUCCAGUCCGCGUCGCGUGCC
rnacentral:tRNA from 1 species